rnacentral:sRNA from 1 species
UUGACAGCCCUGGAGACUGAAGUCCUCUAUCCCCGAAACAGGUACAACAUGGGCACCAAUAAAGCAAUCUUUACUCCCAUUGCCCCUCCUGUGUGUCUCACUCCUGAGCUGGGAAGAUCACCUCUAGGGGUGAGUAGGGAAUUCACUCUCCAUGGCUCAUUCAAUCUGUGGCUUCC